rnacentral:rRNA from 1 species
GACGAACGCUGGCGGCGUGCUUAACACAUGCAAGUCGAACGGAAAGGCCCUGCUUGCAGGGUGCUCGAGUGGCGAACGGGUGAGUAACACGUGGGUGAUCUGCCCCUUAUUUUGGGAUAAGCCUGGGAAACUGGGUCUAAUACUGGAUAGGACCAUGCUGUAGGUGGUGUGGUGGUAAGAUUAGUUUCGGUAAGGGAUGAGCUCGCGGCCUAUCAGCUUGUUGGUGGGGUAAUGGCCUACCAAGGCGUCGACGGGUAGCCGGCCUGGGAGGGUGGACGGCCACAUUGGGACUGGGAUACGGCCCAGACUCCUACGGGGGGCAGCAGUGGGGAAUAUUGCACAAUGGGGGCGAGCCUGAUGCAGCGACGCCGCGUGGGGGAUGACGGCCUUCGGGUUGUAAACUCCUUUCAGCCAUGACGAAGCCCUUGUGGUGACGGUAGUGGUAGAAGAGACACCGGCUAACUACGU